AGCAGCCGCGGUAAUACGAAUGUGGCGAACGUUAUUCGGAAUUACUGGGCGUAAAGGGCGUGUAGGCGGCGUAUAUAGUCUGAUGUGAAAUCUCUCAGCUCAACUGAGAAAUGUCGUUGGAAACUGAUAUGCUAGAGUUCGAUAGGGGAAAGCGGAACUCCAUGUGGAGCGGUGAAAUGCGUAGAUAUGUGGAGGAACGCCGGUGGCGAAAGCGGCUUUCUGGAUCGGAACUGACGCUGAGGCGCGAAAGCCAGGGUAGCGAACGGGAUUAGAUACCCCGGUAGUCCUGGCUGUAAACGAUGGGUACUAGGUAGUAGUGGAGUAAGUGCCCAUUACUGCCGGAGCCAAACGCGUUAAGUACCCCGCCUGGGGAGUACGACCGCAAGGUUGAAACUCAAAGGAAUUGACGGGGGCUCACACAAGCGGUGGAGGAUGUGGCUUAAUUCGAGGCUACGCGAAGAACCUUAUCCUGGAUUUGACAUGCUUGGGAAUCCCCUGGAAACAGGGGAGUGCCUUCGGGAGCCCUUGCACAGGUGCUGCAUGGCUGUCGUCAGCUCGUGUCGUGAGAUGUCGGGUUAAGUCCCUUAACGAGCGAAACCCUUGUCGUUAGUUGCCAGCGGGUAAGGCCGGGGACUCUAACGAGACUGCCGGUGUUAAGCCGGAGGAAGGUGGGGAUGACGUCGAGUCCUCAUGGCCUUUAUGUCCAGGGCUGCACACGUCCUACAAUGGUGCGUACAAAGGGAAGCGAACUCGCGAGAGUAAGCAAAUCCCAAAAAACGCGCCCCAGUUCGGAUUGCAGGCUGCAACUCGCCUGCAUGAAGCCGGAAUCGCUAGUAAUCGCGGGUCAGCAUACCGCGGUGAAUAUGUUCCUGAGCAUUGUACACACCGCCCGUCAAGCCACGAAAGUGGGGGGCCGGCGAAGUCGCCGAGCUAACCCGUAAGGGAGGCAAGCGCCGAACCGGAACUCCGCGAUUGGG
rnacentral:rRNA from 1 species